CCUACGGGCGGCUGCAGUGGGGAAUAUUGCACAAUGGGCGCAAGCCUGAUGCAGCCAUGCCGCGUGUGUGCAGAAGGCCUUCGGGUUGUAAAGCACUUUCAGCGGGGAGGAAGGCGGUGAGGUUAAUAACCUCAUCGAUUGACGUUACCCGCAGAAGAAGCACCGGCUAACUCCGUGCCAGCAGCCGCGGUAAUAUGGAGGGUGCAAGCGUUAAUCGGAAUUACUGGGCGUAAAGCGCACGCAGGCGGUCUGUCAAGUCGGAUGUGAAAUCCCCGGGCUCAACCUGGGAACUGCAUUCGAAACUGGCAGGCUAGAGUCUUGUAGAGGGGGGUAGAAUUCCAGGUGUAGCGGUGAAAUGCGUAGAGAUCUGGAGGAAUACCGGUGGCGAAGGCGGCCCCCUGGACAAAGACUGACGCUCAGGUGCGAAAGCGUGGGGAGCGAACAGGAUUAGAUACCCCGGUAGUC
rnacentral:rRNA from 1 species